rnacentral:rRNA from 1 species
UACGAAGGGGGCUAGCGUUGUUCGGAAUUACUGGGCGUAAAGCGCGCGCAGGCGGUUUUCCAAGUCAGUGGUGAAAGCCCGGAGCUCAACUCCGGAACUGCCAUUGAAACUGUGAAACUUGAGUACGAGAGAGGUGAGUGGAAUUCCCAGUGUAGAGGUGAAAUUCGUAGAUAUUGGGAAGAACACCGGUGGCGAAGGCGGCUCACUGGCUCGUUACUGACGCUCAGGCGCGACAGCGUGGGGAUCAAACAGG